rnacentral:rRNA from 1 species
AUUGAACGCUGGCGGCAUGCCUUACACAUGCAAGUCGAACGGCAGCGCGGGGCAACCUGGCGGCGAGUGGCGAACGGGUGAGUAAUAUAUCGGAACAUACCCUAGAGUGGGGGAUAACGUAGCGAAAGUUACGCUAAUACCGCAUACGCACUAAGGUGGAAAGUGGGGGAUUCGCAAGAACCUCAUGCUCAUGGAGUGGCCGAUAUCUGAUUAGCUAGUUGGUGAGGUAAAGGCUCACCAAGGCGACGAUCAGUAGCUGGUUUGAGAGAACGACCAGCCACACUGGAACUGAGACACGGUCCAGACUCCUACGGGAGGCAGCAGUGGGGAAUUUUGGACAAUGGGGGCAACCCUGAUCCAGCAAUGCCGCGUGAGUGAAGAAGGCCUUCGGGUUGU